CCUACGGGAGGCAGCAGUGAGGAAUAUUGGUCAAUGGGCGAGAGCCUGAACCAGCCAAGUCGCGUGAGGGAGUACUGCCCUAUGGGUUGUAAACCUCUUUUGUCGGGGAGCAAAAGCCGGACGUGUCCGGCUGUGAGAGUACCCGAAGAAAAAGCAUCGGCUAACUCCGUGCCAGCAGCCGCGGUAAUACGGGGGAUGCGAGCGUUAUCCGGAUUUAUUGGGUUUAAAGGGUGCGCAGGCGGAUUUUUAAGUCAGCGGUAAAAUCGUGGGGCUCAACCCCAUCCAGCCGUUGAAACUGGGGAUCUAGAGUGUGCGAGAGGUAUGCGGAAUGCGUGGUGUAGCGGUGAAAUGCAUAGAUAUCACGCAGAACCCUGAUUGCGAAGGCAGCAUACCGGUGCACAACUGACGCUCAGGCACGAAAGCGUGGGUAUCGAACAGGAUUAGAUACCCUUGUAGUC
rnacentral:rRNA from 1 species